UUUAUUGGAGAGUUUGAUCCUGGCUCAGGAUGAACGCUGGCGGCGUGCCUAAUACAUGCAAGUCGAGCGAAUGGAUUAAGAGCUUGCUCUUAUGAAGUUAGCGGCGGACGGGUGAGUAACACGUGGGUAACCUGCCCAUAAGACUGGGAUAACUCCGGGAAACCGGGGCUAAUACCGGAUAACAUUUUGAACUGCAUGGUUCAAAAUUGAAAGGCGGCUUCGGCUGUCACUUAUGGAUGGACCCGCGUCGCAUUAGCUAGUUGG
rnacentral:rRNA from 1 species